UCUAAUACCGGAUACUGAUCCUCGCAGGCAUCUGCGAGGUUCGAAAGCUCCGGCGGUGCAGGAUGAGCCCGCGGCCUAUCAGCUAGUUGGUGAGGUAACGGCUCACCAAGGCGACGACGGGUAGCCGGCCUGAGAGGGCGACCGGCCACACUGGGACUGAGACACGGCCCAGACUCCUACGGGAGGCAGCAGUGGGGAAUAUUGCACAAUGGGCGAAAGCCUAUGCAGCGACGCCGCGUGAGGGAUGACGGCCUUCGGGUUGUAAACCUCUUUCAGCAGGGAAGAAGCGAAAGUGACGGUACCUGCAGAAGAAGCGCCGGUAACUACGUGCCAGCAGCCGCGGUAAUACGUAGGGCGCAAGCGUUGUCCGGAAUUAUUGGGCGUAAAGAGCUCGUAGGCGGCUUGUCACGUCGGUUGUGAAAGCCCGGGGCUUAACCCCGGGUCUGCAG
rnacentral:rRNA from 1 species